UACGUAGGGUGCAAGCGUUAAUCGGAAUUACUGGGCGUAAAGCGUGCGCAGGCGGUUUUGUAAGUCAGAUGUGAAAUCUCCGGGCUUAACCUGGGAACUGCGUUUGAAACUACAAGGCUAGAGUGUGGCAGAGGGGGGUGGAAUUCCACGUGUAGCAGUGAAAUGCGUAGAGAUGUGGAGGAACACCGAUGGCGAAGGCAGCCCCCUGGGUUAACACUGACGCUCAGGCACGAAAGCGUGGGGAGCAAACAGG
rnacentral:rRNA from 1 species